CAUCCAUCUCCAGAGGCCUUCUCAGGCGGAUGCUGGGAGGGACGGUUCUAUCAAUCAGCUCAUCGAUACUCUGAAAAAGGACAUCCAUUCUCUCAUCACAUCUCUCCGUGGGACCUUUGUUGAGACUCGUUUCGUUGUUACCGGAGUCUCGGCGAGUCCCCACUUCUUGCUCUUGUGCACCUCGCUCCGGAACUUCCCUGCGGGCGGAGGGCGAGGCAGAGACGGGAGGACGCGACGGGGAAGUGGUUUUAGGGAGAUGCAAAGAUGCACAAGAGGUAAUUGGGGAUUCCCCUCCUUCUCAUCCUUACUGCAGAAAGCAGCAGCAAGCUUCAAUGGCAAGGGAGACUCAGUUUAAUGCCCAAGCUGACCUUUGGAUUGGUGUUGCCAUUCAGCUUAUUGGCAUGGAGGUAUUGGACUUCUGUAGAGGCUGACCUUCCUUUCUAAAACGUCCACCUGUGGCAGAGCCAGGAUCCAUCACAUUCUGGGACUUACUCAACUUGAGAAGCCAAGGAUAGAUAAUUUUGUCUGAAUUAGGCUCAUCAGUGGAAAGUUGCACAAUUCACAGAAAUGCGUAUACAAAUUAGAGCUCUGCAUAUCAAACUGAGACCUCAUGAUUAGGAAGAAGGGAUUUGCAGUUAUACA